AAAUUGAAGAGUUUGAUCAUGGCUCAGAUUGAACGCUGGCGGCAGGCCUAACACAUGCAAGUCGAACGGUAACAGGAAGCAGCUUGCUGCUUCGCUGACGAGUGGCGGACGGGUGAGUAAUGUCUGGGAAACUGCCUGAUGGAGGGGGAUAACUACUGGAAACGGUGGCUAAUACCGCAUAACGUCGCAAGACCAAAGAGGGGGACCUUCGGGCCUCUUGCCAUCAGAUGUGCCCAGAUGGGAUUAGCUAGUUGGUGAGGUAACGGCUCACCAAGGCGACGAUCCCUAGCUGGUCUGAGAGGAUGACCAGCCACACUGGAACUGAGACACGGUCCAGACUCCUACGGGAGGCAGCAGUGGGGAAUAUUGCACAAUGGGCGCAAGCCUGAUGCAGCCAUGCCGCGUGUAUGAAGAAGGCCUUCGGGUUGUAAAGUACUUUCAGCGGGGAGGAAGGUGUUGUGGUUAAUAACCGCAGCAAUUGACGUUACCCGCAGAAGAAGCACCGGCUAACUCCGUGCCAGCAGCCGCGGUAAUACGGAGGGUGCAAGCGUUAAUCGGAAUUACUGGGCGUAAAGCGCACGCAGGCGGUCUGUCAAGUCGGAUGUGAAAUCCCCGGGCUCAACCUGGGAACUGCAUUCGAAACUGGCAGGCUUGAGUCUUGUAGAGGGGGGUAGAAUUCCAGGUGUAGCGGUGAAAUGCGUAGAGAUCUGGAGGAAUACCGGUGGCGAAGGCGGCCCCCUGGACAAAGACUGACGCUCAGGUGCGAAAGCGUGGGGAGCAAACAGGAUUAGAUACCCUGGUAGUCCACGCCGUAAACGAUGUCUACUUGGAGGUUGUGCCCUUGAGGCGUGGCUUCCGGAGCUAACGCGUUAAGUAGACCGCCUGGGGAGUACGGCCGCAAGGUUAAAACUCAAAUGAAUUGACGGGGGCCCGCACAAGCGGUGGAGCAUGUGGUUUAAUUCGAUGCAACGCGAAGAACCUUACCUGGUCUUGACAUCCACAGAAGAAUCCAGAGAUGGAUUUGUGCCUUCGGGAACUGUGAGACAGGUGCUGCAUGGCUGUCGUCAGCUCGUGUUGUGAAAUGUUGGGUUAAGUCCCGCAACGAGCGCAACCCUUAUCCUUUGUUGCCAGCG
rnacentral:rRNA from 1 species